AAAUUGAAGAGUUUGAUCAUGGCUCAGAUUGAACGCUGGCGGCAGGCCUAACACAUGCAAGUCGAGCGGAAACGAGUUAUCUGAACCUUCGGGGAACGAUAACGGCGUCGAGCGGCGGACGGGUGAGUAAUGCCUAGGAAAUUGCCCUGAUGUGGGGGAUAACCAUUGGAAACGAUGGCUAAUACCGCAUGAUGCCUACGGGCCAAAGAGGGGGACCUUCGGGCCUCUCGCGUCAGGAUAUGCCUAGGUGGGAUUAGCUAGUUGGUGAGGUAAGGGCUCACCAAGGCGACGAUCCCUAGCUGGUCUGAGAGGAUGAUCAGCCACACUGGAACUGAGACACGGUCCAGACUCCUACGGGAGGCAGCAGUGGGGAAUAUUGCACAAUGGGCGCAAGCCUGAUGCAGCCAUGCCGCGUGUGUGAAGAAGGCCUUCGGGUUGUAAAGCACUUUCAGUCGUGAGGAAGGUAAUGUAGUUAAUAGCUGCAUUAUUUGACGUUAGCGACAGAAGAAGCACCGGCUAACUCCGUGCCAGCAGCCGCGGUAAUACGGAGGGUGCGAGCGUUAAUCGGAAUUACUGGGCGUAAAGCGCAUGCAGGUGGUUUGUUAAGUCAGAUGUGAAAGCCCGGGGCUCAACCUCGGAAUAGCAUUUGAAACUGGCAGACUAGAGUACUGUAGAGGGGGGUAGAAUUUCAGGUGUAGCGGUGAAAUGCGUAGAGAUCUGAAGGAAUACCGGUGGCGAAGGCGGCCCCCUGGACAGAUACUGACACUCAGAUGCGAAAGCGUGGGGAGCAAACAGGAUUAGAUACCCUGGUAGUCCACGCCGUAAACGAUGUCUACUUGGAGGUUGUGGCCUUGAGCCGUGGCUUUCGGAGCUAACGCGUUAAGUAGACCGCCUGGGGAGUACGGUCGCAAGAUUAAAACUCAAAUGAAUUGACGGGGGCCCGCACAAGCGGUGGAGCAUGUGGUUUAAUUCGAUGCAACGCGAAGAACCUUACCUACUCUUGACAUCCAGAGAACUUUCCAGAGAUGGAUUGGUGCCUUCGGGAACUCUGAGACAGGUGCUGCAUGGCUGUCGUCAGCUCGUGUUGUGAAAUGUUGGGUUAAGUCCCGCAACGAGCGCAACCCUUAUCCUUGUUUGCCAGCGAGUAAUGUCGGGAACUCCAGGGAGACUGCCGGUGAUAAACCGGAGGAAGGUGGGGACGACGUCAAGUCAUCAUGGCCCUUACGAGUAGGGCUACACACGUGCUACAAUGGCGCAUACAGAGGGCGGCCAACUUGCGAAAGUGAGCGAAUCCCAAAAAGUGCGUCGUAGUCCGGAUUGGAGUCUGCAACUCGACUCCAUGAAGUCGGAAUCGCUAGUAAUCGUGGAUCAGAAUGCCACGGUGAAUACGUUCCCGGGCCUUGUACACACCGCCCGUCACACCAUGGGAGUGGGCUGCAAAAGAAGUAGGUAGUUUAACCUUCGGGGGGACGCUUACCACUUUGUGGUUCAUGACUGGGGUGAAGUCGUAACAAGGUAGCGCUAGGGGAACCUGGCGCUGGAUCACCUCCUUA
rnacentral:rRNA from 1 species